rnacentral:tRNA from 2 species
GGGUUGGUGGUCUAGUCUGGUUAUGACAUCGCCUUCACACGGCGAGGGCCGCAAGUUCAAAUCUUGCCCAACCCA